AAAUGACGCAUUCUUAUUGGUUGGUUGUUUUGUAAUUAUAUAUUUGCAGUUGCCAUUUGGCUGUUCAAAUAGGCCUAAAUUUAUAAUUCGCGAGGAAGCGAUAACUGCCUUGAACGUGUCUGUCAUUGAAUAAAAGUGCAAUUAUAACAUAUUUACAAAAUAAUGAAAGAUAUAUUAUUACAAAAUCUGUAGGCUAUAUCGAUGCGGUAAUGAGCGGUUUCGUUACAACCAAACAAGCCUUUUGCGAUUUAUUAUCCACUCACGCAUGCGCACGCAAGCCGAAAUGAAAUGAUUUUCACCACGGUGUGUCCAUACCUUCAGUAGACGCACGUUUUUAUCAGUGGACCAUUUGGUAAGUUAUGGUUUUUAUAUACAAUUUUCAUCGAAUUUUGCCAUUUUUAUUUUUUUUUUCCAUUCAAGUUAUGCAAAGGGCAUACGGUAUUUGAAAAGAACAUAUUGAAUCAAAAUUGAAACAAAUUUCUAGGCUGUAAAAUAAACUAUAUUUCUGUACGCACAUAUAUUGUAAAAGGCUUCGUUACAUACAUCUUUGCGUGGCUUUUCUAUUUAAUCAAAUGAACAGGAUUUGAGCUUGGCGUCCUGGGUUGGCGUGGGUGGGUGGAACUGGCUUGGUCAGGAUUUGGAAAUCCCCGUGCUCUCCUGAUCGUGCGGCCUAAACGCGUUUUUUUUUCUCACACUAAUUUGUGUAUGAGAAGAAGAAGAAAAAAACCCCGAAUUUCUUUUCGAUCAAAACUGCUAGGCAUAUUUUAUUAAGGAGGUGUGUAUACCUGUCUACUGUACGACGUAGCCUAAACAAACUCAAAACGUAAAUUAAGUUUCAUACAAUGAGGCCUAUACGUUUAUUUAUUGUUAUUUUUUUACAGUCUAAUUAAAAGGGGGAAAAAUACACAAAACCUCGACGACUGUUUAAAAUCCUGUUGAUACAUACAGUAGGCCUACUGUGCUGUCCUCUGGUUGUGUACGAAUUAUGAUUGUACAUAAUAUUUUGGUGACUGCAUUUUAUCUGAAGGCGUAAGAAAAUUUGGCCUAUAUAUUUUGUAACGGCCUUGUUGUUCAAGGACCACCAUUCGUUGUAACCUAUUGUAUACAGUACCUGUUAUUUUAAACUUUAAACAUUUUAGUUACUUAACACCAUGAUGAUCGGCCCCUAAAUCAAAAACAAUGUGAAAACGAAUGGUAUCAGUGAGUGUUAACACAGUGGGACAACGUUCAGAACAGUGUUUAUGUUUUGUAUUUCAGUAUUGCAUUUGUUGUGUUAUUUGUCAUGUUAUAAGAUGGCUGUGCCGUAUGUAUGCAUGUUUAAUAUAGAUUACAGCCAGAGUAAAAACAACAGCUUCUUAGCUUUAAAUGUUAUUUAAUGUCUGGAACAUAUGAAAUCACUGUCCUGGUAACAGAUAAGGGUGCUGUCAUCUGUUUGGUUAAUGUGUCUCAGGCUAGUAUGUCAUUAAGGAGAAGCGGGGUCACCCGCCCCAUGAGUCAUUAAAAUCCCAGCCUAUGGUACUGCUGUUACUCGGGGUGGUGGUGGUGGGGAGGCAGGGGUUUGUUGUCCUAUCAGUCUAUCAUUGAGGGGCUUUGACUCAGAUUUUCACAGUGUGCACGUGGAUUACAUCGAUAUUCCAGCAACAUUCUCCUUAAUGAAAGGUACCUUUAGUCUUCCCCUCUCCACAGCCUCCCACACAGAACUAUAAAUAGGACUUUUAUUUGGAAAUAAGGGUAGAGGGCAGAGGGCAGCAUUUAAAAAAAAAAUCCCUUUGAAGAGUAGGUUUUUUGGAAUGUUUUUAUUUCUUCUUCAAAAUUCCAAGUCAGUGUUCUAGAACGCCAUCGCUUUCAGUUACCAAGUGGCUGUUGUCACAUCCGCAUUAGUAUGUCCAGUUAAGAACAUUCUAAUCGCAUAUUUGUGUCUCACACCUUGAAGGGUUAAGGAUGCGAGCUCAGUUCUGUAACCAGCUGUGGAGAAUGAAUAAGGAGUCUGGGAAUGUGGCCAUAGCUGUGCCAGCAAAAUUAAAAUAGAAACAUGAGACUGUGUCACGUUUUAAAUGGAACGUAAGAAAAAUUGUUCUUUACAUUUAGUCAGUGGCAACAGCCAUUUAGCUAUCAGUAUGGCUUUUCCCAACUCUGUGAGUACACCCCUGAUGACUAUUACCAAUUAUAGAUUUUGUGUUGACCCACCCCAUCUAUUUUUAGUUUGCAUACAAUAACCUACAUCACAACACAAUCAUUGAUAUACCAGCUGAAACACAAAUAUACAAACUUUCAAACAGCAAUGCUCUUAGUCUUCGAAAUAAUUGAUACAAAUUUAAAGUUGCUCUCUGAAUGUAAAAUAGUCUUCUAAUAUUUAAAUUAAAUAUGUAUACUGCUGUGCUCUGACACGGACUAGUAUUUUCCUCUGAAGCUUUUAAUUCGGUCGACUGUCAUUUUUUAUUUCUAAACAUAUGGCUGGAUUCAGAUGCAACAAUCUGGAGGUACGGAAGACUUCAUGAUGGAAUUGUGGGGUGGUAUAAGUCGACUUUAGUAAAUCACAAUCAAAACAACAGAGAAAGGGGCUGUAACACAGCCAUCUACCAAUCAAUACAUUUCCCAAAAUAACAGGUUUCCAGUGUAAAUAUCUACCCAUACCUAAAGCUAGCCCCUCCCUUACCACUCUUACAAGGUAAAAAUCGUGUCAGCUCAAGUACAAAGGCCUUCACAUUGCACAACACAGACAUUGUUCACAAUUCCAUUUGCUAACCUAAACAAAAAUACAUUUUAAAUACCCAUGCGUAUAUUCGCGCAGCUGUAACAUGAGAAUUUACAGUAUUACUGAGACUGAAAUACUGUGAUUAUGUUACGCUGUAACACUGUAGAAAAUGUGAAUAAAUAAUGAGAGUGUGAGAGCUCACGCUCACGAGUGUGGUCGUGUGAAUGCUCGGACACAAAUGAGCAAAUGGAAAGUUGACUCCUUAAGGUUGCAAGUAAAUGCACUUCUUUUCUCACUUUCUUUGUGCAAACUCAGCAUGGCAAGUUAGUUUCAGCAGUGGCUAAAUUAUGUUUGUUUUUACGUUAAACAAAUGUUAAUAAAAAUAAAAAGUGCAAGUUAAGGACAAAUGUUAAUUACAUUCCAGCCAGUUGUUUGAACACUGCCAAGUGCUGUCAUAAAAAAACAUCAAAAAAUUUUCUGAAGCCAAACAACAAACAGACAGACAUUGAUUGUGUGCAAGGCUGGUGGAAACCUGCUUGCAGACAGGAAUGAGUCACUCGCAUAAACUAGACAUGACCAUUCCCACCUUACUUUAUAUAGUCAUUAUUAUAGUUUUUUUCUUUGAAGCUAGCAUUCAAACAAUCGAAAAUAUUCAUUCAAAGUAUGUACAUGGCAUACCUUACAUAGCUUUCUAAAAAACAAUUCUAGAUAAAUGGAAAUUUUAAAACACACAUACCACAGGAAUGUUCAGUGUUAGCUGUCUGACUGAACCUCCCCCCCUCUCCCCCACACACACACACACGCACACGCGCGCACACACACACACACACACUCCCAAGGUCACCAUGCUGUAAUAUUGGAUUUCAAACUGACGAUAUUGCCUCCAUAUUAGUAAUAGUGGUAUUUAGGUCCUCUUCACAUAUUCAAAAUGUUUUUCAGUUGAGAGAUAACUGUCUGUCACACAUCCCCACUUCCUGUUUUUGCCUGUGGUGCUUAAAGGGGCAGCUCGCCCAAAAAUGUUUUAAAACAUUUUUUCAGCAUUGUUUUAAAAGAUGUAUAAUAUAUGCAUAUUUUUUUCAGGGAAAACAUUUUUUUAAUGACCUCAAACAUAUUAGUUUGCAUUUUUAAAAUUGAAUUCAUGAUAUUUACUUUGUUUUUAAACUAUUUCAAAUGAGUAAUUCAACUUAUACAAAUAUGCCUAUGGCUUCAAUUAGGUUUUAGGGCUCAAAUUAUGGUUCAGCUAGGGUUAGGGUUAGGAAAACGGUAAGUCUGAGGGUUGAGGCAAGUUCAUGGCUGUGUUCAGCAGCUUGAAGAAAGGUUAGGACUUGGGUUUGUUGUUGAUUUUUGGAUGAGCCAAAAAUUUUCUCUAUAGUUGCAUGACCAUUAAAAAUGUAUAAUAUAUGCAUAUUUUUGCAGGGAAAACAUUUUUUUAAUGACCUCAAACGUAUUAUUUUGCAUUUGGAUUAUUAUAUUCAUGAUAUUUACAUUGUUUUUCAUCUAUUUAAAAUUGGAUGUUUUCAAAUGGUACCUGUGGCAAGUUGAUAUCAUUAAACUGUGCCACUUUGAUAUCAUUAAACCGUGCCACUUUAAUAUCAUUAAACUGCCGCCUUGAUAUCAUUAAACUGUGCCGCCUUGAUAUCAUUAAACUGUCGCCUUGAUAUCAUUAAACUGUGCCACCUUAAUAUCAUUAAACUGCCACUUUGAUAUCAUUAAACUGUGCCAUCUUGAUAUCAUUAAACUGUGCCAUCUUGAUCUUGUUACUUCAUAUACACAUGAUGUCAUAAAGAACAAUGGGGCAUCUGUGAGCCAAUCAGAGGCAACAGGCCCCAGCUGUUCUGCAUCUGAAUCGUUCCUCCUGUCCACGGAGCUGGGACCAAAGCGGUUACUGAGUCACAUGUCCACAGACUCACAUCCAGCCAGUUCCCUCCCCCCUCAGGCUGCCUACAGUAACUCAUGCUCCAUUUUACAGAUGCACUGCUGGUGGCUUCCUGUUCUGUCACCUGAUCGAGUUUCCGUAUUUCUCUCGUGGAUGUAGUAUGAAUGAAUUUAUCCUUGAUGUCACUCAACUGAAAAUGUUUUAGUGUUUUACUGCUACUGAAGGGGAUUGUUUUGUACGUCUAGGGUGGUAAAGUGGAAUCACAGCUAUUGUUGUUUAUUAUCUUUGUGCAGUUAAUGAUGAGCACUGUGUGAUUUUACAGAACUAUGAUAGUUGCCAGGUGUCUGUUAAUCAUUAGCAGAGUGUGCUGGUGUAAUGUUAGACCUGCUGUAUAUUUCUAUACAAAUGUGGGAGGUUUAUUGUCAGCACCAUGGACAGAACCUGUUUAAACUGGACUGAUAUUGAGUACAACUCGAGUCCAGUACAAUUGUGGUUGUUUCAUGUUCAUGAUGAAAUAUGCAUAUUUAUGUGAUCUUAAUAUGCAUAUAUCUACAAACAUGUGUAUCUAUUAAUCUAUAUGUGGGCUGACGGAUGUGUGGGUUUUUGUUGUAAUCAAACAUUUACUUUGAUUGGUUCAAGAGGUCUCACCUUCCCUUGUUUCUGUCGGUCUGGUGAAUACAGGAACCAGCACACAAUGGCAGCCCCAGGGGCAGGGUUUCAAACCACAGGCCAAUGGCAAGGUCAAAGUGACGAGGAGAUCACCUGAAACAUACGCGCAGCCUAAAUUACAGAGCCUCUGUGCCUGUCCUGCGUCACUAGCCUGAUAUCAGACAGAAUUGUCAACUCGUUACGCUCCAUUUCCAUCUUCACUGGGCGGAUUAAAAGGCCUGGAACCAGGCAACGGUGGCACUUCAAUCGGGGGCAAUAAAGAUGACUGGGGAAACGUGAUACAACCUGUGGCUAGACUGUAAGCCCGCAUGGAUACUCGAGCCAAAAAGAGAACAAAGUGUCGGUGUGGGAAAGCAGGCUGUUACGUCAUUGGCUGAGCAAUGCGAGCAGCGGAGGAGGGGGUGUGCAGGUGUCCACCUGAGAAUAUUGUUCCCUACUGGCGUUCUUAAUCUAGUCAGGAUUAUACAGUGAGAAAUAGGCACAAUGGACUACUGUUUUCUUCGCAUUCCAAAAAAAAUGUUGCUGUUCUCUUUCAGUUAAUGAUAUAAAAAACAUUUGCAAAUGCUAGCUAGUUCGUGCCUUGUAUACAAUGCAAAGGAUUUUAUGGUUUUAUGGUUAUGGUUAAUAAUAAAUACAAAAAUACCUAAUUGAUUUUGACUGACAAAUUCUAAACAUGUGAAAUGUUUCAUAAUUAUGUAAGAGUCAAAGGAGAGGAUGCAAGUGUAUUGUCACGUCGCAACAUAUACAAGUGCUGGACAAUCACCCCACAGAUUUCUUAAAAUUAAAAUAAAAAUAAAACAACAAUUUAAAUGCUGCCAGAUUUUCUGUCAGGAAGUCGUUCUCCUGUAGAAUGCAGCCCUCCCCUGUUCGGCCACAUUAAUGCGCGUGGGCAGCCUUCCGGCCUUCUCAUUGCACAACAUCAUCCGCUGGCAUUUGAAAAAAGAGAGGGUAUGCCAGCCAGCAGGAAGCAAAGCAAAAAAUGAACUUAGAUGAACGUAAACAAGGGGUGUUUACAGAUUCAGAGAGAGAGAGAGAGAGGCUCCAC